rnacentral:rRNA from 1 species
UAAAGCGUGCGCAGGCGGUUUUGUAAGACUGUCGUGAAAUCCCCGGGCUCAACCUGGGAAUGGCGAUGGUGACUGCAAGGCUAGAGUUUGGCAGAGGGGGUAGAAUUCCACGUGUAGCAGUGAAAUGCGUAGAUAUGUGGAGGAACACCGAUGGCGAAGGCAGCCCCCUGGGUCAAAACUGACGCUCAUGCACGAAAGCGUGGGGAGCAAACAGGAUUAGAUACCCUUGU